rnacentral:rRNA from 1 species
UGGGGAAUAUUGCACAAUGGGCGCAAGCCUGAUGCAGCCAUGCCGCGUGUGUGAAGAAGGCCUUCGGGUUGUAAAGCACUUUCAGCGGGGAGGAAGGCGUUAAGGUUAAUAACCUUGGCGAUUGACGUCACCCGCAGAAGAAGCACCGGCUAACUCCGUGCCAGCAGCCGCGGUAAUACGGAGGGUGCAAGCGUUAAUCGGAAUUACUGGGCGUAAAGCGCACGCAGGCGGUCUGUCAAGUCGGAUGUGAAAUCCCCGGGCUCAACCUGGGAACUGCAUUCGAAACUGGCAGGCUAGAGUCUUGUAGAGGGGGGUAGAAUUCCAGGGGUAGCGGUGAAAUUCGUAGAGAUUUGGAGGAAUACCGGUGGCGAAGGCGGCCCCCUGGACAAAGACUGACGCUCAGGUGCGAAAGCGUGGGGAGCAAACAGG